rnacentral:lncRNA from 1 species
AUUAAGUACUAUGAAACUAUGUAGUUAUGCUUUAAGUAAGUGCUUAUUUAUUAUGCCUAUUGAUAAUUGAAAUUUUGAACUGCUUUUGUUAUGGUCCUAGCGUUGAAGAGGCAAAGAAAAAAAUUUAUGCUUGUAGCACGACGACUUAUCAGGGAUUUCAGGUUGAGUGCUCAGAGGAAACUUCAAAAAAGUUUGAAGGUUAGUUUAUGUGUUAUAGAUUGCUGUAUAAAGGUUAAUUUUAGUUACUGAAGUUUUAUUUUUUUUAAUAAUCUUUCUGCAAACAGGUCUACCUGGUGUUGUAUUUAUCUUGCCUGAUUCCUAUAUUGAUCCAGUUAACAAACAAUACGGAGGUAUGUAAUUCAGCAUCAUCUAUUAUACAUUUGUGUCCUUAUUUUUGUUUCUUUCUUAAACUUGAAUAUGACAUAUUUUUUCAUGUAUAUUUAAUGCAUUUAUACUUGCUUGAGUUUUGAAAUGGCAGGAGAUAAAUACGAUAAUGGCUUUAUAACACCUAGACCGCCUCCUACGCAAUAUGGAAGGACAGGAGGACGGUUUGGUGAUCGAAAUAGAGACUCCAACCGGCCAAUGCGUCCACGAGGCGAAUUCAACCAAGGAAAUCCGGCAUAUGACAACCGAAGUAACACAGUAGGGAGUGCAGGGAACUUUGGGCCAACACAGCAUCCUCCACCACAGCAGAAUUAUGGUCCUCCUGGAGUUGCCCCGAUGAAUAAUUCUGCUGGAGGACAAGAAAAUUAUCAGGGAUACAGGAGAGAUCAAAUGUCCCCUAAUCAAGGAAAUUACAAUCAAGGUCAGAGAGGAAAUUUAUAUCCUCAAGGACCAAGUGUGCCACCGGUAAACCUCAAUAACAAUGCACCCCCACCCCAACCCCCACAAAGUGGAAACUUUAGUCAAGGUGUUCCUGGUCAGCCACCAGUAAACUUUAAUAACAAUGCACCCCCACCCCAAUCCCCACAAAGUGGAAACUUUGGUCGAGGGGCCCCUGGAAGUUACAAUCAAGGGGCUCCUGGCAGUUACAAUCAAGGAGCUCCUGGCAGUUAUGGUCAAGGCGCUCCUGGCAGUUACGGUCAAGGCGCUCCUGGCAGUUACGGUCAAGGCGCUCCUGGCAAUUACAGUCAAGGCGCUCCUGGCAGUUACAGGCAGGUUGCUCCUAGCAGUUAUGGGCAGGGCUCUCCAGGAAGUUACGUGCAGGGCGCUGCUGGAAGUUACACGCAGGGCGCUUCUGGCAAUCAUAGGCAAGGCGCGAGUGGCUAUGAGCAAGAUGCAGGAAAUUAUGGGCAAGGUGGAGGUGGCUAUUUUGGGCAAGCAGCUGCUGGUAGCCUUGGGCACGGUGGUGGUGGCCAGGAAAAGUUCCCUAACUUUGGGCGCCCUGAUUCAGUACACGAAGAAAAUCAAAGGUUCUCACAAGGAGAGCAGAUGGAUGGCAUGAGGCAGGUGCCGAAAUAGGUACUUGGGAAGUGGAAUCAGGUACUGGACAUGAAAUUAGUAGCCUUUCAUUUCUAAUAACUCUAUGGUCCUCGUAUGAGCUGAUGUUAGCAUAUUAUCAAUGUCAUCAGGCCAAAACCCUUGGCAGCUUAUAUCUAAUAGCUAUCAGGUUUACACCCGCAGUCUGCACAUUACAUUUCUGAUACAUGAUCAGUCAAAAACCCUGAAAAACUUAUUUCAGUGCUCUUCUGUUAGCUCUUAAACAUAUUAACUUGUACAGAGAUGUUUUGCUAUUACUUUCCAUCUUAAAGAAGAUCUGAUGAUGUCGCAAAGGCCAAAGUUUAAACAUAUGGUCAAUGGUCAAUCUAAUCUGGUAACGAGAUCAUUAAUAAGAUCUGUGGUGAUUAUUGCAUAACUCCAUUGCAGUUAGUACGUGGAAGAAUGUUAUACUGGUCUGUGAUAGUCUACUGGGGUCCAUAUAAGUGAGUUUCCGUAAUUGUAUUAUAUUGCUCGAUCCAAAGCUCAUGAGUCUGCCAUUACUAGGUUAAUUUCUACUGGUUGGUUUUUUUUGUGGUUGGAACAUACUAUUGUUGAACUCAGGAGAUCAGUUGGGCAGAUCUGUAGUUUCUUUCCCGAGUCAAUUAUUCAUCUAGGCCUAUUAUAAAAGAUAAAUUUUGAGAAAGUUCAAUGUCUAGUUAGUUACCUGAAGUUAAGUAGAUUGCUGAAGUAUAAAAGUGACUUGGUGGACUAUAUACUGCCGUGGUUAAAAUUGGUAUUUGUCCAGUAUUAUUAGUGCUUCAACCAAGAUGGCUGUAGUUAACUUCUAAAUUAUUAUUUUUCCCAUUUUGCUAUUUGACCUUGGGGAGUUAUACGUUAUCAUGUUAUUAUUUGAGGAUUUAUAAGUCCACUCUCCACUCUCCACUCUCCAGUGUCCAGUCACUUCAUUAGUUCUUUACUGCUGUUAAAAUAGGGUGUAUUGAUGGGUUUUUUAUGCAAAAUCCUGCAGGGAAGGUGUUAUGAAAGAUAGAAGUGGAAUUACGGCCAGUAGAAGCAGUCAAAUAUGUGAAGAAGAUAGACAUGACUGCAGAAUUAUCACUUAGAUUAAAAAACAGUUGGUUCGGACUUACUUCGUGUAUAAAUGUCCUGCUGCUCUUUCGGUUUUUGUAUUACGGAAGUUAUGUUCCAAAAACAUAAGCGUCUCCUAGAUUAUGUUGCGAACUGGUGAAACUCUUAUUGACAAAUAAAUUUAUAACAUUGUGUUCUUUCUUGGUGGCGCUCACAACUGUAAUUUGCAAGGCACUAGUGCGCCAAUAUUUUUUUGUUUUUCGAAUUCAAUAUCCAUAGUGACCAUAUGAUAGGUCAAGAAAACUGUGAUGAUCAUCACCUACUCUAUUAUCGAUUCCAUCAUUUGUAUUUUUUCCAUCACCUACUCUGUUCUCAUCAUCUUCUUGCGGAUAUAUUUCUUCUAUUUUUAUCGUGAGCAAACUUAUGAACCACAUAUAUUAUAUAACAUUUCAUAUCAUGUAAUAAUGUACUCAUUUUUUUUGAAAAGUAAAGGAUUUCAUUAACUGGGAAAAUCUUCAUGUAACAUCUCCAACAACAUAACUGGAGGAGAUAAAAAGAGAUUGCUGCUAUUUAGCAUACAAGGAACUCUUGCCAUCACAUGUGCAGAUUUAUUCGCCUGUCUCCUAACAUGGGAUAUGGAUAGAUCAGCUCGGCCUCUUAGAUUCUCUUUGCACUCGUCGAUUAUAUACCCUACCUCCAUCUGAUAACCCUCCUCAGAGUGAAGCGCUCGAACCACCUGCUGCGAGUCAGUCUCAAUGACCACCCGUCCUAACCCAGAGCUCUUAAUCAGUUUAAUCGCUUCAAGGACUCCUGUUGCCUCAGCUUCCAUCACUGAAACCUCACCUGCAAUCUUUAAGUUCUUGCCCAUUAUAAAGCGUCCUCCUUCAUCUCGCACUACCAGUCCCAGGUUAAACAUGCACUCACCUCUACGAAGAGAAGCAUCCACAUUUAUCUUAUACAUUCCUAUAUCAGGAGGCUGCCACUUUACCUCCGUGUCUGAUAGCCCUGAAUGCUCCUGAGGAACGUGACCCUUAAGUUUAUUAGCCUCCUGCCAGUCUCUCACCAUCUUUGAACUUAACUCCAUGCUGACUGUGGGGUUAAUAUCCUUGCCCUCCCAGACUUUUUUGUUUCGAGCAAACCAUAUACCUGAUAGCACAGUAGCCACCAUUUGAGAUGUUUCUGUGUUGUCCUUACUGAGCGUUUCCAGAAGCCACUCCGAAGCCGAUUCUAUAUUCUGCAAGUUAAUAUUCAUGCCUGCUUUAUUCCAGCAUUCAACCGCAAACGGGCACUCACAGAACAGAUGUCGUAAAUGUUCUACGUCUACUAGGCACAUAGGACACCCGAUCGUAACCAUCACCCCUUUACUCCUCAGCAGUUUCCUAACUGGAAUAAUGUUCCUGCAAAAUCUCCAGAGAAACACUCUAGUUUUGUGAGGAACUGGCAGAUUCCACAGUUUGUUCCACCCUGACGAGUCAAUCACAUCUUCGCUUCCUUCGUUGUUUCUUUCCCAGAAUCUAUAUCCUGAUUUAACAGUGUAAAUUCCUCGAUGAGAACCUGUCCAAGCUAGUCUGUCCUUAACAUCAAUCUGCGGGAUCCUCGUUUGGAGAAUCAACUUGCUGUCUUCAUCAUGAAAAUCAUGUUCGACCUUAUGCACAUCCCAGACUUUGCUAUCAGGAUGGAAGUACGAACAAACUUUUUCAUUCCUAAGAAAAUUCUGAUGAUUGUCCUCCACUCGGAAAUCCACUUUACCUUGUAACCAAGGAUCCUUGAAAAUGCUGAUCUCCUUACCAUCUCCUAGAACCCAUCUAUACCCCUGUUUCAUCUGUUCUUUGGCCUCCCAAAUACCCGUCCAGAUGAAGCUUGGAUCCACCCCUCUACUGGCUUGAAGAAUAUGUUUAUCCCGGAAGUAUCGUUCUUUAAAGAUGCGAGCUACAAGAGUAUCUGGUCUGCGACUAAAGUUCCAGAUAUGUUUCCCGAGUAGAGCCAGAUUAAACCCAUGAAGAUCCCGUACACCAAGCCCUCCUUUACUCUUUGAGAUAGCCAAUCUGUUCCAGGCCAUCCAACGUAAGCCUCUGUUGUUCUCUCCUUUCGAUCCCCACCAGUAACCAUUAAUCAACUUCUCAAUCUCAGAGCAUAGGGACUUUGGGAGUAAAAAACAAGACAUGCUAUAAGAAGGAAUGGAUUGAGCCACAUUUUUAAUCAUGAUCAUUUUACCAGCUUUCGACAACGUUUGAUUACUCCAGUCUUGAACUUUCCUCCAAACUCUCUCUUUAACAAACCCAAACACUGAUUUCUUUGAUCUCCCAAUUAGUGAAGGUAGCCCCAGAUACUUGCUGUCCCCAAGAUCGUUCUGAACUUCCAUAAUGUUUCUGAUCUCCUGCUGCUUGUCUCUCCGAACAUUAGCACUAAAGAAAAUACCAGAUUUUUGAUAAUUCACUACCUGACCCGACUCACAACCAUACGCAUUCAGAAUUUUUUUCACCUCCCUCGCUUCCUCUCCAUUUGCUUUGAAAAAUAAGAAACUAUCAUCUGCAAAUAGUAGAUGUGUAACCUGGGGAGCUUCUGGACAUAUCCUACAACCACUUAUGAGGCCAUCAGUAGCAGCCUUGGUAAGCUUGGAAGACAGAUCAUCUACACAGAAAAGAAAUAGGUAGGGAGAUAACGGGUCUCCUUGCCUUAGCCCUCUCCUCGGUUUUAUUGGCCCAACCAUACUCCCAUUGAAAGCUACAGAAUAGUUUACUGUCGUGACGCAAAGCAUUAUCCACUUAAUCCAGGUGUCAUUAAACCCCAUAGUUCUCAUUCUUUUCUUCAAAAAGAAUAUCAUUAAUGAUUUUUUUUGACAAUGCAGGCUUAUAUGCCUUACAACUUAACAUCUGUUCUAAUAAUUCUCGGGGUGAGCCAAAGUCAAACCCGGGUGUUCCGGGUCAACAGAGGAUAAACCCACCACUAGGCUAUCCAAUCGUGCUCUACUCAUUAAUGAUUUAAUCUAAUGCAAGUGCAUUUUAUCUCAAAGAAAACAAACUAAAAACAUAUUCUUGAACUGAAUAUCAAUAUAUUUAUAUAAAGGAGAAGAGAGGGAUGUUUGAUUCAUCACACAUCCAGGCUCGAGAAGAAGACUUCCGUGCCUUACUUUCGAUUUUUAAUUUGUGUUCUCUAGCCUCUAGCGGCUAGCCAUCUUCCGCUUGUACAAGUAUCAAAACGCUACAUGAUGUAGCGUUUACCUCUACUUUUUCUGUAAUAGUAUAUAGCUUGCUCCUACUAGGUUAUACACACAACUCAUUUUCACAGCUUGGGGAUAUAAUCUGCACUUGUUAACAUUGACUACAGACAAGUGACUUGUAAUGAGAGUUUGAAGUGAAGGUUACAAAAAUGUAGUCAGCCACAAGAACUCAUGAACCCUUGGAAAUAUUGUCACCUUAUCAUGAAAUGCAAUUGUUUUAAACAAUUUCAUCCUCUACAAGUUGUGAGCCAAACGAACUCGUAAAUGACAAUUAUUUCCAGAACUCGAGAAUUGUAUAGUCCACAAAUUUGUGAAAAACCAUAACAAGAGAUAAGUCCAUAUCAUUUCUAGAGAGCUGAUAUUUAGCAGUACAAAUAUCCAGAGAACUGGUACUGCACAAAACCUGCAUUCGGAACUACAUAUAAAACAUUGAAUAGGAUGGAGAUGUACUCGAUCUGGCCAUGUGUUUCUUAAGACUAAAACCUACUAUCUCAUUAUAAAUCAUCUCCAGAUAAUAAAAUGUGCAUAUAGGAAGAGAUAUGACUUAACUUCAUCAACUUGAAGUGAUGAAUAACAGAACUGUUGAUGUUGCAGUUCAGGCUCUUGCUUGACCCAAGCAUAAACUACUAAACUAGUUUAUGUGGAAGGUUACUUGCUCCUAAACUACCAGAAUUUCAAUGCAUUACUAUAUUGGCAAUCGAUAGAAAUAAAUCAAGCCAAGAUCUUAUUGCUCUAUGUCCUGAAAUACAGUUUCCUCUUUCUAAUUCUUUUACCAUAAUAUAUAGAUUGAUAAUAAAAACACAAUAAAUACACUCCAAGAACAAACAAGACAAAUUAGAGAAAGUUUGUCCACCACAACAAAAUGUUAAUUAAACAUAUCCAAGGGUUUUUAACAAAAGGUGAUCAACUUUUACGCUAAUUAGAAGAACUGAUACAUGAAAACCUCCAUGCUAAGUCAUUAUAAAAAGGGUAAUAACUAUUUCAUACAUAUGACAUUUCUUAAAUCCUUGAUUUUGUCAUCUAUGUAAACUGGCAGAAGAAGGAUAUGCAAAGUCCAAGUCCCUAGAACAUAUUACUACUGAAUCAUCUUAAACUUGAAAGGACAAUGUUGUGUGUGUCCACAUGUACGCAUUUGAGUAAAACCUUCGACUCAGCAAUGAUGAUUUCCAACACGGGCAACACCUAGUCCAUCUUUUCACAGCUUUUGCUGAAUUACUUGUAUUUCAGCGAUCAUUGAAGCCUCUACUUGGUUUAUACUUUCUAGCUUACUAUGUUUUAUCUUUUAAAAUAUCAGUAGUCUUAACCAAAAAUACAAAGAUGGCCAGAUACACAAGGUCCAGCUAAUACACAUCCAAGAGACAUGUAUAUGCUAUUCUAGUAGUAGCACUUAACAGAGUAAAAAAUGCUGGAAAAUUCCACCAAACAAAUCUUCUCUUUAAAAAAAAUUAAUAGUAGUUGCAUAUUACCAACAUCAAAAAAGAAAAUAAACAUAACAAUUUUAAAAGGACAACUCUUGGCUUUUCAAAUGACUAAUCCAGACAUCAUCUGCACUCAGAUGCCAACUUCAGCAGCCCUAUGUGGUUUAUUCUUCCUCCUGCUCCCAUUAUGCCUGAAUCCAACCGGCUUCACAGAAUCAUUAGUUUUAUUUUUAAGAUCAGCACCACUUUCUUUAACCUAUACAUGAUUUUCAUUAAUGUCUGAAGUCCUUCUUCUCUUUCUACCACUCUCAAUUACAGACGAUGCAUUGAUAAGUUCGUCCGACAAGAUAAUAUCAGUAUUCUCCACUUCAUCAAAGUCCUCAGCUUCUUUUUGUAGAAUGUCAUUCUUCACCAUCUUUAGUGGCCUUCCUCUUUUCUCAACUGAUUACUUUUCUUCCUCACCGCUACCUUGAUCUUCACGAGCUGCUAUCAAAGUCUGUUUCCUCCCCUUCACUCUGCUUUUGCCUACUGUAGAACCACCCAAAAGAAAAAACAACAAAAACACCUAGAAAAGGGGAUCUGCAACAGGUAACAUACAUAAACCUAAAGACCUUAGCUAAUACCAGAGCAUUCAUUUUUAUAAAUAUGACGAAAAAUACCAAGAAAUGAAGCAAAAGAAAUACCAUACAAUAGAUUAACCACACUCAUCAACAUCGUAAACACACAAGGAUAGAAGCAGAAAAUAUGAAACAGUAAAACUGCAUUACCAAACAUCGUGGAAAGUUUGAGUAAUGACUAGUGACAAGUAUGACCAUAAUUAAGAUAAGAAAUCUACUCACAUUAAUGUUAUAUAAGAAUGAAGACGAGAUCGAGAAGCUAACAAAUUAGUGUAUUAAGGUAUACAAAUUGCCACCAGGAAAAUGACAUCAUUAUACAGCCAAAAUUAAAAACUUUAUGUAACUAAUCUGAUUCAGACUCAUAAAACACUGAGACAAUUGACAUAGCAAACUAAAACUAAAGGGAAAAUGAUAAAAUGAGAUUUAUUCAAUCAAAUCUACAGGAUCAAGAAGAUCAGUGUCAAAAAUCAAAUCAAGUAGUAUCAAAUAGUUGAAAUUUAGAAUGGAAAAGAAACAUAAACUUGAAAGAGUUGUUUAGACAAAUUGGAUAAAGAAACCAAGUAACAAGCAAACAAUAUAACAGUAAGAAGAAGGGAGGGGGUCUAACAAGACAUUUAUUUAUAAACAAAAGGUCAAGAUCCAACACGCAACAACAUAUUCCAUUUCACAUGAACAGCCAAAUCCUUGAUUCCAUAGUAUCUUCUGAUUUAUUUAUACCAGUAAAAUCAGAAAAUUUAACAUUUCAUAGGUGUAAAAUGUCAAAGUCUAUACACAAGUCCAGUGAGGAAACAAGAACUAGAAAUACGCGUCAUGACAAAAUGAAAACUAAGAUUCAUUACAGGGGGAAGUUACCUGUAAUCACUCGUGCUUCUGAACUCAACUCUAUAGUUGUAGUCGGGAAGAGGGUAGGCAUGCAUAUUUUUGUCUCGAAGGUUUCAACACUUUUCCUAUCAGUCUCAGCAAGCAGGGAAGCUUCAAAAGUGAUAAGGUAACUUGGAACACUGGAAUCAAGUUUUACUAGCUGGAGAACUUUGAGCGACUCAAUGUCGUGCUUUGCAACACGAAAUUGUUUCAACUGUAUUUGUAAUUUCAAAAAGAUUCUUCAGAUAAUAACAAUUAAUGGGAUUUUUUAAUAAAAAAACAAAAAGAUUUACUUAUGUGUAGUAGAGAAUGAAAGACGGACCACGAAGACGUCAUGGCUAACAAGAGCAAACUGGGAGAGAUAAAGGGCUAAAUUAUAUUGAGAAUCCAAUCCCGAGUCCUGCAGUGAUCAGACAUUCAAAUAUAUGAAUAGUAUAUAUACGUGCAAAUAAAAAGGAAAGUAAAUCCAAGGGUAAAACUUUAAAGGAGCACGUAAACAUACGGUGGUAUAUGUACUGAUGACUCGAGAGAGGAGGGCGCCUUCUUCAACGACAGCAAUGUGAUCCAAAUCAGAAGGCUGGGAGUUGUUGUAAUCUGGUUUGAUCCUAACAAACAAAAUCUGAAUCUGGUGACACGGGUGGUAAAAAACAAUUAUUUUAGUUUGGAAGGUAACGGAACCCCCCGAAUUCGUUUCAGCUUCAAAAGUAACAUAUUUAGUGUAAACCGGUGUGUUUUGUGCUGUUGCCAUGAGGACUUUGACAACAGAAAAGUUUGUACCCUGUAGGUAUGCAUAAUAACAAAAUGAGUUACAAGUAUAAUAAAAUUUAAUACCGAAUAAUAUACAUUCUUGAUCCCAACAGGUCAGGUAUAUAUUAUCGGUUUUCAUAGUAUGUGCUGCUAGAAUUUUAUAAGUUUGACUAUUUUCAUUGGCUCUCAUAUCUUAAUAAUGAUGGACGCACCACACCAAUCAAAAUCUCUUAAACAUAUAAAAUUUCACGCUUAGCAUGGCCCAUGGGCACACACCAGACAAAGCCAUGUAUUAUAGACCAAAGCGACCAAUGGCAAUCUAACAGGAUAUCGAAAAAAACGCCGAAAACAUGAACAUACUAACCAUCCUUAUGUUGUAAAGGGCCAUAGCCAACCUAGAGUAACAGAGUAGUUGCACAAGUUCAACGGGUCUACAAUUCUUAGAGGACCGUGAGAUAUCAUAAACUUUAGCGACAAAUGAACCACCAGUACAAAAUUGUAAGCGAUCACCAGGAUAUUGCGGAUAGUGUAUCCAAGGUUCAGGAUAGUCUCCGAGCUCAAAAUUCUACACAACAUACGCAUAUAAACACAAAAUUAAACAACACGAAAUUGAAAUCAUAGAGAAUGAGCCCGCAAGGGUUGGUUCAGCUGGUUAAAGAGGGGAUUUGUAUCCUCUUGAUCACAGGUUCGAUUUAGCUCGGUUCACGUGGUUUGCAGGCUAUUACGUGAGCUCGUGGUUUACCCAGUGCACACCUAAACCAGUGCGCACCCAAAGGGUAGCGGCUGCGGGUUCCUACGUUAAAAAAAAAAAAUCAUAGAGAAUGAUUAUAAUAAAUUCACAUACUUGGCUCCUCUUCAGGUCUUUGGAGUAACUGCCGCUAUUAUCCUCAUCCUCUAAUCUACGCUUCCCUUUAUCGGAAGAAGAUUCUGAUUUGGUUUUCAUCCUCGAACCCUGAUUAUCUUCUGCCAUUCUAGUUUUCUUUGGGUUGGGGGAGUUUCCGCUACCGCGGGCUUCUGUUUUGUUACUGUCUUUUUGGAUUUUAAUGGAUUUUUUUUAUCAAUGAAUUUUAGCGAAUUAUACGUGAUUUUGUGCUCAUUGUUAUAAAAUGUCGAGGUAAUUGCAUGUCGUACCUUCUAAGUAUCAUUCAAAAAUGAUAUGGUAUAUAUAUUUUGAGAAACUCAACUCGCGCCCCUUAUCUUUAUAGUUUAAAUCCGAGAUGCAUCCCUUUGUUGUUAACUCUGUUAACUUUUUGCACUCCGUUAAGUCAUUGUACAUGUAAUUACAAUUCAGACCUCCUAACUUACGUUCAAAAACGAUAUUGUACCCAUACUUUUGGAAACUCAAAUCGCACCACCUAUCUUAACAUUUCAAGAACGAUACGCACCACCUAUCUUAACAUUUCUUGAAAUGUAAAGAUAGGUGGUGCGAUUUGGGUUUCCAAAAGUAUGAGUACAAUAUCGUUUUUGAACGUAAGUUAAAGGGUCCGAAUUAUAAUUACAUGUACAAUGACUUAACGGAGUGCAAAGAGUUAACAGAGUUAACGGCAAAUGAGUGCAUCUCGGGUUUAAACUAUAAAGAUAAGGGGUGCGAGUUGAGUUUCUCAAAGCAUAGGUAUCAUAUCAUUUUUGAACGAUACUUAGGGGGUGCAAUAUGCAAUUACCUCUAAAAUGUCGUUGAUAUGAAUUCUUUAGAACUUGCAUAAUGCUUCAAAAUGAUUUUGAUGGAAUUUCAAAAAACUUAAAAUACACUGAGAAGUGCCACAAUAUUCAUCAUUUUAUGAAAUCCAAAAAAAUCCAUCAGGAUUUGAAUACCAUCACAUUGUAUUGGAUUUUAAACAAUCCCAGUUGAAUAUUAUUAGAUUUUAAAGUAUAAUUUAAAAUCAUAAUUGAAUACCACCAGAUUUUGUAGCAUAAUUUAAAAUCUCAAUUGAAUACAUUUAGAUUUUAAUGGAUUUUAAACAAUCUUAAUUCAAUACACUCGGAUUUCAUUAAUGCAAAAAAAUCCUUUAAAAUCCCAAUCCUACACACGUAUUAAUUUUAGUUGUUUAGAUGUUAUUCACAGAAUCUGAUUCAUAUUCAUUAUUUUGGUUUUACAUAAUAAUUAUUUUACUUUAUUUUGGUUAAAUUUUCAAAAAAUGAAUUUGCUAAUGAUAGUGAUUUUUAUCAUAGACUUUUAAAAUUUAAAUUUUGUUUCUAGACUGUUUAAAACAUAGAACUUAAAAAUUCUUCGAGCUAAGAAUGAAAUCAAAAAUAUUUCAAGCGAUCCAAAUUGCACCAACAUCCCAGUAAACAUUGACAUCACAAUUGAUCUUAUCACAUUAAAGCCAUUAUUAAACUUUUGUUCAGAAACUCUAAUCACAUAAGCUGAGAUUAGAGGAGUGGCAGCCCAGCUAUUGACAUGCUGGAUAUCAGCUAUAAACAUGUCGAAAGUGUAAGUUUCUAAUAGAUGAACAAUCUUUGGCUGUGAAAGGUGAGCUCUUACAAUAAUUGCUACCGGCUAAGAUUUGACGCGAGUUUUCCCAAUUCCAAAAAUAUCAAAAGAAUCAUUUUCAACAAACUUCAUAUCUAAAAAAUCCAAAUAUAACUAAAUAAAACAUUACGAAACACUCCAAAAAAUAGGCAAAACAACCACUUCAAAAAUAGAUACUCCCUCUGUCUCUCUCAUUUCUUUACGGUUAUUAUUUUGGGAUGUCCCUCUCAUUUCUUUACGUCACUAUAAAUAGUAAGUUUUUCCAUCAUUACACCCACUAUCUUCCUAUACUAUCUUGUAUUUAACAAUAAAAACCACUAUUACACCCACUACUUUUCUCCACUAUCUCAAAUCUAUUAUUAAAUAUUGAUAGAUCCCACCACUUUACCCACUUUUCAUCUAACUUUACUCAUUUUUCAUACAUUGUCUUGGUCUCCGUGCCCCCUCCAAUGUAAACAAUUGAGGGGGACGGAGGGAGUACACACAAACACCUAAAAAAUGGGUUGGGAGAAAAUCAACGAAAGCCCCUCACACUAAUUUGAAAGCUGCUCGAACUCUAAUUUUUGAGAUAAAGUGAGUAUCUUUAGGGGUGAACACGGGUCGGGUUGGGCGGGUUGGCGGUAAAAAUUCAACCCAACCCAAUAUAGUCGGUUUAUAAAAAUUUGAACCCGUUAACCCUUAAAAAUAUUUCCAACCCAACCCUAUUAUUCAUACGUCGGGUUGGGUUGGGUAGGGUCGGGUUUAUCGGGUUUUAUCCGAUCAAACUAAAAAUUCGAACAACACAAAAUUAUAAGGGUUGGUUGCAUUGUUUAUGUCCCUCCGUUUCCAGUUACUCGUGUUUAACUGUUUUCAGCUGCUUGUGCUUGAGUAUUUCUAGUUGCCAGUUUCCUUUCAGUUCUUCAUUUAGCUUUAGGAGUCAUGUCUCAGGGUGUUUAAGCUUCCGUCCUAGUCUGUUCUGCAUGCAUGUGUUUCUCUUAUGUCCUCCUACUACAAGGGGAGGUUUGUUUGCUUUAAUUUUUAAUAUAAUGCUGCUGUUCAAAAAAAAAAAGAAUGCAUACUGCUUGGUUAUUGAAUGUGCUGGUAUUACAGAAGUUAGAAGUUAGUCCAGGUAUCUAGCAAAGUAGUAGCACUGCUUCUUGUAUUAAAAGUUUAACUUGUUAUGGCUCAUAUAAUUCUAAAAUUUUGAGCAUGGCUGAUAAUUGUGGAUAAUUAGGCUUUUUAGAUAUGUGAUUUAGGUUAAAAGUUUAUGAGUUGAGUUACGUUUGGACUGCUAUAAAUUUAAUAUUGAAUUAUACUAAUCUAAACGUGUUAGGGCGGGUUGGGUGGGGGUUAAUAAUUUAUAAACUCUUACCCAACCCAAUCUAUUCGGGUUUAUAAAAUUCAAACCCAAUUAUUUUUCGGUUUCGAACGGUUCGAUUUGAUCGACCGAAAUAAGGGACGGUUAGGGUCGGUUUGGCGGGUUAAUCGGUUUUUUGUUCACCCCUAAGUAUCUUAAUUAAAGAUUCCGACUUUCUGAAAUAAGCGCCUUGGACCCACUUUCAUCCUAACCUUCUCUAAUCUCUCUUUGACAAUCCACGAACACCAUCUUUGCAUUCUCAAUCUAUACGCACACGUUUCUAUGUAUCUCUCUUAUUCGAUAUAAAAUAAAAGCCCCGUCGUUCCAGAUCAUCACUUCGACGUCCCUUCUUCAGCUCAAGUAAUUUCAAUUUUGUCUUCAUGUAAAUAAUCCUUUAAUUGUUAAUUUCUUUUUCUUACUGUUAUUUGUUGCUCAUAUGGUGUAAAUGUUGAUUUUAUUUAAUAAAAAUGAGAUCUUUAUAUAUGGGCUGUUUUGUUUUUGCAGUUUUUGAGUUAAGGUGCUAGAAUUUGUUCAAAUUACAGAUACAGAUGUUUAGGGUUUUGGGUGUUUGAUUGAUUUUACUAAUGUGUAUUCAAUUGGUUGAAUUGUUAGUGUAACUAUGCGAGUCAAAAGACCCUUUUACUGAAUUUGAUAGGUGGGAGUUGACGAAUGGUGUGAUCGUGUUUUAUGCUGUUUUCAUUGCUUUAUUACUGUUUUAUUACGACGUCAAUGUUAUAGAUGUGAAAGUUAUAAGAUUAGUUUUUUUCGUUGCUUAGUAUGAAAUGGAGAUUAGUUGAGGUAUUGAGGUUGUGUUUUAUAAUGUUUUUCUCUUUGUUGAUUUUGCGCGACUGAUAUGGUGUCUAUGUGUGUGUUGCUAGGGCUGAGAUUUAUUGGUAAGUUAUUACGAGAGUCUUGCUAAAUUAGUUAUGAGGAGGUCGAGAUACCAUAAUGUUGCUAAUCAAGGUUUUGAUGAGUGGACAAUUACAAAGGCCCUCACUUUGUCUGAUGUUGAUGUCACUCAUCCAUUUCUCACUCUGCCUCGACAACCUGUUGAAAACUAUGUGCUUGUGCAUUUGACGCAACGAGAACAGGAUAUGUUAAUGAAUAAAGAGCAAGUAACCAUUAAUGCUAAAGAUGAGGAUACUGGUGAAGUUCAUUUGAUGAAGCUAAAAUGGCGUGGGAGUUACUAUAAUCUUAUCGGGAAAUGGGGAAGUAUUGUUCGAGCUAAGAAUCUUGAGGUUGGGAGAGAGAUUAAAAUACGCUGGUUUAAUGGAUGCCUACACUUUUCUGUUCCAGAACAGCAGGUUCAGGCAGUGACACCAUUGCAGGAUGUUGCACCACCGCUACUUCAUGACCACUGGCCUAUUACAAAGGUUUUGACAUUAUCCGGUGUCGAUACUAAUCAUCCAUUUCUCCCUUUGGCACGCAGAUCAGUUGAAGAUCAUAUUCUUGUUUAUUGGAGUCAUCAACAACGAGAGCUUCUAAGAAACGAGGAGCAAGUUAAUAUAAAUGCUCGGGAUGUUGAUACAGGGGAUACGUAUGUUAUGACCUUGAGGUGGCGUGGAAAUUAUUAUAACCUAUUCGGGAAAUGGGAAAAGAUAUUACAGCAUAAGGGACAAGGUGUCGGAAAAGAAAUAAAGAUACGUUGGGGUAACGGAUGCUUAAACUUUUUAGUUCCAUAUGAACGUAAUGUUGUGUUACUACAGGGACAGGACAUGUGGCCUAUUAAGAAAGCACUAACUUUGUCUGAUGUAGACACCAAUCAUCCAUUUCUCACUUUGCCUGGAAAAGCUGUUGAGGAUCAUAUUCUCUUUUACUGGACAGUGCAAGCACGGGAACAGUUGAGAAACACACGCCAAGUUGAUAUAAGUGUUCGAGAUGAUGACACUGGUGUUUUGUAUCAAAUGAAGUUGAAAUUUCGUGGGAGUUACUACAAUCUUAUUGGCAAAUGGGGACAAAUCAUUAGAGGGAAGAUGCUCCAUGUUGGGAGGGAGAUUAGAGUACGCUGGGACAAUGAAUGCUUAUGCUUUUCAGUUCCAUAGCAUAUCUGUAUUCAGGCUGUAUAGGUAGGAAUUCUAAUCUUUUUUGUUGCCAUUUCUUUAAACUUUAUCUAUAGAUAGGUUUUCUUGCAUAACUGCAACCUUUUGUUUGCAUAGGGCCAUGAAGAUUCAAAAUCACAAAUGUUUUGUUAAAGCCUUGUAGUCCUCUCCAUAGUAUAUUAAAUUUUUACAAUUUCAAGAACCAAACAGAAAUGUAGCAUGAGAUAUCUUGUACUUCUACUCUUACCAUUGUUUCAAAAUAUUCACCUCUCUCCUUUUUCCCACUCUUUCCCUCCUUUCUCCCUCNAUAUAGUGUUAUAAUAAUAAUAGGGAAUAGGGAAUGUUGUUGGAGUUCCCAUUCAAUAAUAUGUAGUAAUCCCUUAAAAAAUGCAUAUUUUAUUAUAUAUAGGGUACCUGUUAGGAUUCUGCUGGAGAUGCUCUUACAAAAGAGUAUAUUAGAUUUAGUAGAUUAAUAACUGUGCUUAAGGUGACCGUGCUCAAGGGCGCUGGCCUUUUUUCACAAUGUGUGUCAAUAGUAUUCAAGUAAACAAGUACUUGCUAAUCACUCAGCUGUCCUGUUUUAAAUAGAAAAGAUAGGUGCUUAACCUAAAGAAUUUCAUCUUUUUUCUCUAUACAAGAUCAAAUGACUAUCCGUUACAAAGCGAUCCUUCUAGUGCUAGGUUUUUUUUUUCAAUGUUAGAAGUGGAAUUUGUGCUGUUUAUUGGCCAUCUACACGAUUAUGUUUUAGUGAUAGCGUCAUGACAUUUGAUAAGGGUUGGCAUUGUAGACUACUCUAUGUUCUCUAUUAGGUGUGGUUAACAUUGCAAUUAGUUGGUAUUUUUGCAGUGAGUGUAAGAUGGCAAAAAGAGCUACUUGCGGGUGUGGAAAUUGAUACUAGCCAGCCACCAUAUGUUGUCAAAGUCAGUUGUAUGACCUAACAGGAGUACCUCCCGAAAGACAGAAGAUUAUGGUGAAAGGUGGUUUAUUAAAGGUGAUUUGAUAUGUUAAAACAACAAAAUGGUCAAUACUAUGUAACACUUUGUUAUGCUCUACCAAGUUCUGUUAGCUAGAUUUCAUGGCUUAAUCUCUCGGUUGUUAAUAUGUAUUAAUUUCAUUGACAAUGUAGGAUGAUGCCGAUUGGUCAAAAUUAGGGGUAAAAGAGGUAGGUAAAUAGACUCUCGACAUAUAUGCUUCAUGCACUUGAACACUUGGAGGGCAGCCGACACAUCUUAGCUGUGCACCAGACAGCUCAUGUUAAUCUAGCCGACUUUAAUCAUUCAAAUAAUGCAUCUUUCUUGUAUAGGGCCAGAAGUUAAUGAUGAUGGGAACGGCAGAUGAGAUUGUGAAGGCACCUGAGAAGGGCCCUGUUUUUAUGGAGGACCUUCCAGAAGAAGAACAAGUUGUUGCGGUAAUGCCCUUUCUUGAAGAUAUCUACAGUUUUACUCCUUUCUCAUCCCUGUGUUUAUCUUCAUUACUUUCAGAUUAACCUCCUAAAAAUUGGAUAGCCACGAACUUCAAAAUUGUCUUUGCAGCAUUCAAUUUGAAAUUUGAAACUUGCUAAAAUCAAAAGAUUGGCUGCAAUAAAGAGUGAUCUAAAUUUGAUUGGUAAUUAUAAGUUGGCAAUUGGUCCCUAACCAUCGAUUGAUGGCAACAAUCUACCAGAAUUUUUUCGCAGCCUGAAGGUAGAAACCUUAAUAUGAGUAACAAAACUGCUGGUAGCUACUGUAGCUCCCUGCAUUUACAUAAAAAAUUUAGACUUAAUACCUUUUGGCUGAAAAAACCCACUGGUAGAUGGUUUCGUCAAUCACUUUUCAAAGACAUGGACCAGUACCCUAAUAAGUUUCUGCGACUCAUGAAGACUGUAGUUGGGCCAAGUACUUGUUUGUACGUGUUCUAAUGAAAAAGAGUUUGUCUGUUCUUAUAUACUAUCUGAGUUGGUCUGAUUCACUUAGUUUGAGUGUUAUAAUUAAGUUCAAUGUGUUGGGUUAUGCCUUAAUUUUCUGCCAAUUUGAAUUUAUUAUAUAUAAAGCCAGUUCUCAACUUAAUAAGCAUUGGACUUGUAUUCUUUUUAGUAAACAAGACGUUUUCUUCCAGGGUCAUUCUGCUGGCCUGUUUAAUCUGAAACAAGACGUCUUGUUUACUAAAAAUCUAUCUGCAGUUUUCUUGAGUGUAAGCUGCAAAAUUUUACGGAAGAUGUGAAGGCAGUUUCUCUGAGGUCCAAAUGCAGUUGUAGCAAAAUCUUAAUAUUAGUCAAUAAAUAUUUGGCAUUGGAAGUGUAAUAGUUUAUAGUUGAUAUUAUUUGUUAGGCUAACUUCAGAUGAUAUAAUCUACUUUAAAUAUGUUCCUAAUGACAUGUGUUCAGGUCCUAACCAUGUUUUAAACACCCCAAAGGUGGCUCAUAAUCUUGUUUAAUGUAGUUUGGCAGAUCUUGAAAUACUAGUUGAUAAUUUCUGAUGCUACAUUCAUUAGAUUUUAGUGUAUUAAGUGUCAUCACAUGGUACUUGCCGAUUGUUACUAUACCUGAUCAGUGAUCAACAAUCAGGUGUCACGAGGUUAUGGUGCGUUUAAGUCUAAUAUAUAAAACUUGAUUAGUUGUGUGUGAAUUUAAGUUGCACUGUCGUACAGUUCUCUCUCAUUAUAGCGUAUAUGUACUGUAGUUGGGUUCUUAUAGUAAACAACAUAGUGUCUGUGUAUGUCUACUAACAAUUCAAUUACACUUCCCAACCCCUGUCGGCUAGGGAGAAGGCAGUGCUUGUCAGUUUGAAGUUCAUACUGGCUGUGGUUACUGCUGAGCAAGUCUAUGGCAUGAUCCUCUUUGCAAAUAGUUUAUCAGAAAAGCCUUAGGAUAGAUGCAGCAGUCAUCUGGUUUUUCUGAUUAAACAUUUGAAAGACUCUGGAUGAUGUUUACCUGUUUCUGAAGCUGUUAAAGGUAUUCAGGCUGCUUUCCAUAAACUUUGGAGUUUGCACUGGGCUCUUUUUUUAAUGAUGGAAAUUGCACUGGAGUUGGUGUGGACAUCUUUGGAAUCUAGGAUAGCCGAUAUCGACAGUGAUUCUUAUCCCAUGUUGGAUGAGCCUAUAGUCAUAAACUGGUAUUUCCAUCUGUAGGUUUACUCUCAUCUAUGGCUUUAGAUAACACUAAGGGGUCGUUUGGUUCGCAGAGUGGUAUGGGUUUGGAAUGAGGAAUCGGGUUAAGGUGGUAUGGGUUUAAAGUAUCAUAUCUGAUAUCAUGUGUUUGGUUGAUUGCUGGAAUCAAUAUAUUUAACUUUUUUUUUAAAAUUAUAUUAAUUAUUUAUAUUAAUUAAAAUAUUAAUAAAAUUAUUAUUGUUAUGUAUUUUUGCAUUGUUGAUUAUUUUUAUAUUAAAUAUUAAUAUUUAAUUGUUUAAAUAGAGACAAAAAAAUAAAAUAUAAAACUGAUACCCAUACCCCCAUUUCAUACCCACCUCAUCCCUUGGGUAUCAAAAAUCAUACCUUGUGGGUUUAAGGAAUGGGUUUGAAAAUUUGUUUUCUUACAACCAAACACCAGGUAUGGGUUUAGAAUGGACGAAACCCAUACCUGAUUCCAGAUACCCCUCAACCAAACGACCCCUAAAGCUAUUUGUAGUCAAUCUUUGUUGAUUUCAUUUUGUCAAGUGUAAGAGCUUAGUGACAGUGACCAGAAUAAUAAGAAUGAGGAUCUCAAGAUGUUGCUGGAGGCAUAUUCAAGCAGUUAGAUGCACUCAGCAACAAGAUACUGUUACUGUUGCUGAGGAUCUUGAGAUACUGCUGAAGGCAUAUAUCUGCAAGUUUUUCCCGACGCUCUCUGGAUCAAUGAUACUUUGAUGACCCAUAUCAUAUAUACUCGAGUAUAGUUUGGUUAGAAGAAUCAUAUAUACUCACUUAGUCACUUUAAUACAAACUAAAGCAUGCUUUCCCAUUCAUAUAUCAACCUUGGCGGAAUUUGGAUGACUUAGAAGCUAAUAACAGCCCUGUUUAAUGUCCUAGGUAUUGACGACUAACUCAUUUUCCAUAGCUAUCAAGACUCCACAUAGCUGGGAUGCUAGGAAUGGACGUGGAUUUUCAACUAUUCCAUACAGACGGGGGAUUUUGGCUCAUUGGUCGGUAUUGUGUCAUCUUGUCCUGUGUAAUGAUGUUAAUGCUUGUUCUUGGAUAGUUGGAUUUGCCAAAGGGAAGAAGCUAGUUGGGUCUUGAGCACCUUGUAAUAUCUAGUAUAGCCUUAUAACAUCAGCUAAAGUGCAUACAAAUAAAUUAGCUUCUAGCUCAUUUGAAGUUUCUUUGGUUGCUUUAGAAGUGCUAUAGUGAAUCAAAUUUCCAUUAACAUCCAUCAAAACUGGUCUUUGUAACAUUUUUUAGUAUUGUCAUCUUUAAGUUAUUGGUUAUCUUUCUUGUGUACUCUCUCUUUAAGUGGCUUGGAAUUAUUUGGACAAUAAUUUGGUUUACUUUGUAAGGAUGAGGUAACUUUUUACUCUAGUCUAGUACUCUCUUUGUCCUAUAAUACUUUUCCUGUUUCUCUUUAUCACGCUUGCUGGCACACAUUUUUUAUCCUUAAUAUCUUUAAUUUCGUGUUAGUAUUAAAUAUAAAAGUACUCGUAAAUACGAAUUCAACAGGAUCACUAAUGAAUAUAUUUAAUCUUACUGAUUAGACGUAAAUUAGUAAUUUAUCUUAUGUUAUGAGCAGUUCCAACAUAUCAAACGAGAGAAGUAUAAAGAAACGGAGGGAGUAGCAGACAAUUUUUCGAGAAUAUUACAACAGGUCAGCAACUGGUCCAUGCCAACUAAGACCAGGGUCCCAGUUUAUGUAUUUUGUUGGCUAAUUAUUUUUGUUAUCAUUUAUUUAAUGCAGGAUUUUGUCUAGAAAGAUUGGAAAUCUCCUGGCCAGUUGUAUAAUGUUUCCACUUUACUCUUCCUACAACCAGUCUUGUCUCUCUUUUUCCAUUUUGUAAAACCUAUUGCAGGUAUAGAUGGAACUUUUUAUUUUUAUUUUUAUUUUUGAAUUGUCAGAACUUUCCUAGCUCUUUGGUUUAUUGUAAAAUGAUUGAAAUAUGAAUAGAGAGUCUGUGAAAUUAGGUCUACCUAUAGAUGAACUUUGCUUCUAAAGAUAAAAGAAGAAACUUGAGGUUCAAGAGUAAUAAUCAUUGCUUUUCAUGAAAAAAGUGUAGGUGCUUGAUAUUUACAUGUCCGUGUAAAAGUAGAAUUGCUUCUAAUUAUUUAUUCUUUUGGCUUCUUAACAAUUUUCAUUUUCUAUAUUCACAUAUAAUUAGAGUUAUAAUUCAACUUAUAAUUUAGAGAAGAUACUUAAUUAUUUUUUCAAAUAAAUUUUAUAUCAUCUUAUAUUUGAAUUUUUAAAUUUUCUUUUUGAUUUUGAGUGCUUCAUUAUUUGUUACAUUGGUUAUGGUUUGUUUGAUAGGAUUCUAGUUACUUAGAAUUAGUGUAGAGUACCCUUGAAAGGAAAACAAUAGUAGUUGGCAUGUUAAUAGUGACCCUAAUUUUUAAUUGGGAGAAAUUUGUUUUCAUACGGUCAAAGUAAAAAAGAAAAUACAACAAAAAUCAAAGGUUCAAAAAUAUCAAAACUGAUUAGGGUUUGGGUUUUAAAGUCAGGCUUCUAAAAUUGGGGUUGUGGCUAUUACAUUUCCUUUAUUUCAAUAUUUAUUCCCUUGAUUAAUUACACUCGUUCUCUCUGUCAUCAUCUCUUUAAUUUAUCAGUUUUUUAAUAAAAUCUAAAUCAAAUAUUUUUUGGGUGAAUUCUUGUUCACUAUCUUAUUAUCAAGAUUGGUUUUUUUUUUAUCAAACUAUUUUAUAGUCAUAGUAUCUGUUCGAUGUCUAAAUUUUGAUAUAGGUGAGAAUCGAACCCGAGACCUCGGGGACGACUGAUGUAUAAUUUUUAUCACUUGAGCUACUCUCAACCUAUUAUUAUUAUCAAGAUUGUUAACCGUGUUUAUUUUUAUGGAUAUUAUUGUAUUAUGAUAUUUUUGUUAUGAAUUUCAGUAAUUUUUAAGGACUUGCAUCAUAAUUUGGCUUAUCGGUAAGACUUGCAUCAAAUAUGAGACAACAGUGAUUAUCGUAAGAGAUCACCUUUGACAAUAGAAAAACUAUUCAUAUAUCUGGAGGUAGGGAUAGUCAAUCGGUCGGUAUGGUUCAGUUUUAAUAAAAACAAAACCCGAACCGAAUAGUGUUUUUCAAAAUCAAAUCUAAACCGAAUUAAAUCAAAACCCGAAGUUCAAAAACCCGCCCCGAAUCAUCAGUUUUCUAUUCGAUUCGGUUUUGAACGAAACCGUAAAAUUAUAUAAAGAAUACCAAAAAAAUAUGUCUAAAAUAUAGGUUCAUAAACAAGUCUUUAUUCAAAAAUUAACAUAUUCUCAAAUUAUUACAAACAUAUUAUGAUAUUCAUGAUUAAAUUAGUGAUUAAAAUAUUUCGUAAUUAGAAAAGAAGUUUCAUGUUUUUUUUUGAAGUUUUAGUUAAGUGUUAUUAAUUCAUCUUUUUAAAAAUCUUUUAUUAAUUCAGCUAUUAAAAAUAAAUGUAGGUUAUUGUUAUACACAAGAAACUAAAGCAUUAUGUUCUUAUAUAAAAUUUUAUGGAUUUUAUGUUAUUUGUUUGGUUAAACAAAAAUUUUGAUGAUACUUUUUUUAGAAAAAUUAUUUUUAUAAAUAAAAUUAUAUUAUAUUCAAUGAGUUAAGUUUCAUGUAGUCCACAUAUUUACUGUAGUACCGUAGAUCACGUAUGUUCUGCAACUUUAGAAUGUCAUAAAAACAUUGCAAAAUGUAUGAAACUUGUUAUUUUGUGAAAUACAUUCUAUAAAUAUCACUAUUUCAUGAAAAAUAUUGAAAAUCAUUUAUGUUCGACAGGUAGAACACAUAUGUUCUGUAAUAUGUAAAUAUGUACUACAAACUUAACAUGUUUUGCAGAAUAAUGUAUUUUUCACUAUUUAACUUGUAGAAUGUUUAGGAUUGUCAAAAUUUUUAACAAAAUAAUGAUGUUUAUAGAACAUGAUUUGCAACAUAACAUAUUUUAUAAUCUUUUUAUGUCAUUCUAUAGUUGCAGAACAUACGUGGUCUACGAUACUACAGUAAAUAUGUGGACUACAUGGAACUUUGUUCGAUAUUCAAUAUUUGAAUACAUGAUGAAAAAUGAUUAAAAGAAGAUAGCAAUAUAAUUAUUCUUUUUUACACAUAUCUUGUUAUCUUAUGAUAAUGAAUAUUUUUAUAUAAAUAUUAUAUAUAUAUUGUAUAAUGGUAUACGAUAAAUUUAUAAACUGGAUUCGAUUUGAUUCAAAUUCGAAUCAAGUUUCGGAUAUUCAGGUCGAUAUUGAUUCGGUUGGCCUAAAAACCAAACCAUAAAAAUAGGUUCGGUAAAUAUCAUUCAGACCGAUUCAUUCGGAUAUGUGUCGAUCGGAAAAUUUUGUCAUCUCAAUUUUGGGAUAUUUGUUCCUCAAAUAUUAGUUGAUCUAACUAAUAAAGGAGUUGGUCCUUAGCAUACAUAUGUUAAGGAGCGCCUGCCCAACACACUGGUUCAUGGCCGUUGGAUGAAUAUCUGGCGGUCAGGAUUAUAACCUAUCGUCCAACGCUUUUUACGUGCAUGAUAGGUUAGUCCACCGCUUUUUAAGCGUUGGGCGUUAGACAUAUUAAAUUUUUGUUAUAAUCCUGCCCGUUGAAUAUUCAUCCAACGGCCAGGAAGCUGUGUGUUGGAUAAGCGAUCCUGUCAUACGUAUGCCAGGACCUCGAUCCAACUAAUAAAUUGUUCUAAAUAUUGGUUUGCAAAUUGGUGUUCAUGUGAGGGUCAGUUGCGAUAUUGCUAUGCUCAUAACUGAUGUAAAUUAGUCAGUUGCGAUAUUGCUAUGCUCAUAACUGAUGUAAAUUAGAUUGUUCAAGAUAUCAUUACAAUAUUUUCUAGAUUAAAGAAUUUUGAAAUUUCAUGUGUUACAAUUCAAAAACAAAGCAUAUGUUUGUUUAGCUCCUUUCUUAUUGCAUAAUGAGGUUAUAGUUGGAAGUUCAAAAUUUUAUCUCAAUUGAGUUUUUAGUAUUUUAAUGAAUUCUUCCUCUUUUGUAAAAAAAUGUCAAAACUUUGUCAAAACAUUAAUUACUUUUUUUACAUAAUUAAAAUUUUUAAUCCAUCUCUUCUGUUCAAAUUCAUCAAAGUUAUAAAUAUCAUUCCCGUCUUGCUAACAGUAAGGUUGAAAUUAAUGUUUCGAUGAAUACAUGUGUAUUUUUUUCAUUCAAGAUAAUAUUUUACUAGAAAAUAUGAUUUACUAAAUUUUUAUGACGUAAUUUAUAUUAAUUUUAAAAAAAUAUCCCUAAAUUAUAUCCAGCUCACGAACUCAAUUACGCAAGAACUAUACAUUCGAAAUAAAAUGUUAAAUUUUAAUUAAUUUGAUAACAAUAUAUCGCAAAAAGAUAUUUUACAUAACCAAUUUUUUUUUUCAACAUUGAUAAUAAAUCUCAAAAAUCUUGCGAGAAUAAAGUUGGCAAAACCUAAAGAAAAGAGGCACAAAAAGAAUAAUAAAAACAUCCCAUUUGGGUUGUCAAUCCAACAACCCAACUGUGUCUCCAAAGAGAGAGAGAGAAACCCAAUUCUAGAGAGAGAAACCAACCUAUACUUACACACAUAUAUAAGCCCUAGGAGAGAGAAACUGAGCUUCAACUUUCACUCUUCAUCUCACAUUGUAUUCAAAGAUCUCACCUUUACAAUCGUCUUCUACACAAGGUCAGCUCAAUUCAUCUUUUUCAAUCAGUUUAUUUGAAUGUUUGAUUUUCUUGAUGAUGGGUUUUUGAUUUGGAUGAUAAUUAGUGAUUUUGUUACUAAUUGAGGUGAUUUUACUGCAAAAGAUUGAAUUUUUACUGUGGUAAUUAUGUUUUUAUGGGGUGAUCAUUGUGCUUGAUUGAUGAUUGUGUUUUUUUAAGUGUUGGUGCUUUAUUUAGUUUUGUAAGGUGUUGAUUUUGUUCAAAUUGGGAAUAGUUUGUCUCUUAUAGUUAGGGUAAUACAUAGUAGAUGGUUGUUUUUGUAUGUUUUAGAAGUGUCACAACUCCCAACUGGUUAAGUAUUCUAAAUUAGUAUGUACCUGGAAAAGUUAGCGUUUUUACGAUGAUGAGUAUGCACUCAGUAUGAUCUUCAGAGGUUGGUAUGUAUAUGUGGGUUUUGUCUUUUAAGCGUAUUUAUUGUACUACAUGGUGGGUAUAUACUUCUAAGAAAUAUAACGACUGAUCUGAGUACUUUAGUAAAAUAGGCGACUGUGAUGCACUGUUCAAAUGUGUGAGCAUUUUCAAGUGUUAGAGUAUAUACAUGAUAUAAUCUUUGUGGGUUAGGGAAUUUAUGGGAUCUACUAAUACAUCUCUGUUGGUUCUUUGUGAAAAAAGUAAUCCGUCACACGAGUAGUUUAUGUUUUUCAAGUUUUAAUUUGUUUUUGUCAGCUUUAUCAAUAGUGAUAAUAAUAAUGGUAUUAUAGCAUAUGACAUUUGAAUCUCCAUUCUGAACCACUUCCCUAUCUCAGAAUUAAGAUGUGCUGUAUUCUAGUUUUCUUUGCUUGUUAUCAGUUUAUACAUUUGCUUUCCUAUAGUAAUGCUUCAAUUAUUUUGUAUAAUUUACUAGGAACCGUCUUUUGCUAGGAAAUGGCGAAUUCAAAGGGGCCAUCGAGCUUCAGAAGUAUGAUGCACAAUGGAAAGCAUUCUCUACUGCCUCCUAAAAGUCCGUUCCCCAGUAUUACCCCUUCAUAUGUUGAUUAUGUUCCUAGUCCUGCUAUUGGAGUAAAAGGUAUGCCAAAGCCUAGAGAUGGAAACUCUUACCAUCAGCGCACUUCAUCUGAGAGCGUUCUGAUAGAGGACCAACCUUCUUGGUUGGAUGAGCUUCUUAAUGAGCCAGAAACACCAGUUGGCAGAGGUCAUCGCCGAUCAUCCAGCGACUCUUUUGCAUAUACUGAUGCACUUAGUGCUGCUAACAUUAGUUAUGCAGCUCAAAAUGAGUAUAGACCUAAAAACAUGACGACUAUUCAUUCAUGGAAAUCGCAAGACCUUGAUUUUUACAAAGAUGCACACAAUGCUUCAUUUUAUGCAGAUGCAAACUCGUUCAGCAAAAUCAAGAAUAGGUCUUGGAAUUCUCCUUCAUAUGUGAUGGCACAUCCAAGUGGGAACCUUUGUUCCAAGGACAAUUUUAUUCGUCAUAACUCAGUAUCAGAAUGUGCUUCCCAUGAAGCUGAUCAAUUUCCAUCUAAUGCCGAAAAGCUAAAUACCCCUGAAUCUGGUUCACAUGAUGCUAAAGCCUCUUCAGAGAGAAAGGAUCUAUCUUAUGCUAGAACUCCUGCAUCCGAAACCGACACAAAGCGUGCAAAACAGUAUGUUUAUUCUACUUUCUUGUUCUUGAUAUCAUCUCACUCUUUAAUUGUUGCCCUCGACACUAAUCAGGUAAACAUGAGAUGGUAAAAUCUGGCACCCGUAAGACCAAGUUUUUGUAGUAUGCAUACAUCACAAGUUCUUUCUUAAGGAAAAUAUGAUAAGUUAACGAAUGAUUGCAGGCAAUUUGCUCAACGCUCCCGUGUUCGAAAGCUACAAUACAUAGCAGAACUGGAAAGGAAUGUACAGGCAUUGCAGGCAAGUGUAGGAAAGACUUAAUAAAUUUUUUAUUUUCAUCAAGAAUAUGUUCUGAACAUAGUCCAGUGACCACAGGCAGAAGGCUCUGAAGUUUCUGCUGAACUUGAAUUUCUUAAUCAGCAAAACCUUAUUCUGAGUAUGGAAAACAAAGCUCUGAAGCAACGAUUGGAGAAUCUCACCCAAGAGCAGCUUAUUAAGUACUGUGAGUAUAUAGACCCAUCUAUUUUGAUUUUUGACAACUAGAUACCUACUUCUAUUGCUUUGCACUUUUGCCAUUUAUGUGAAAAUAAACUCAUUUAACUGCUUAAGGGAGAGUUGGACUUGUGUAUUGAAAUCUUUAUAUUUUAAAUAUUAUAAUAGUUCUGUUUCUAUAUAACUUAUGAAGCAUGACAUAACUUUUGAUUAAAAGUCUCGAAUUUCCUUCUGAAUGUCUCACAUAACUUGCGGAACUCUAUUGAAAUAAGAGAAAAUAUCAUUUCAGCAUCACAUGUGAUAUUAUGCACAUCAGUGGUAUAAUAAAUCUGACAUUGUGUAACUGGCUGGCAUUAUGCCUCUGUGACCCCAACCCCUCAAUUUGCCUCAAGCACUGACACUCAGACAUGGGUGUGGACGUUCUGACACUUCUUUUAAGCUAAAACAUGUAAAAUAUUCAAAUUAUUGGUAGUCCAGCACUUGCACACUUAUCCAUUUAGGUCACUUCCAGCAGCACGCAGAUAAUAAAGCAUUAUGCUGUGGGAAUGUCGUAAAAUGCCUGAAACUGCAAAAAUAUGUCGACAUGGGUUAUGGACUUGAAUUAUCAUUGACAAAGAAUAAGAACUUAAAUCUUGAUGUAAAUGUUUUGUAUCUAUUGCUGACUCUUAUUAAAACUGUACAUUUUUUAUGUGCCAUAUAUCGAUUCAUAAUUACUACUCCCUCUGUCCCUUUAGGUUGUUUACAUUUUUGACACGCUUUUUAAGGUUCUUAUAAAGUACUCCCUCCGUCCCUUUUUAGUUGUCACAUUUGAUUUUGUGCCGGUCAAAUUGACUAAGAUUUAUUAAUAUUUUAUCAACUGACAAUUAAAAAAAAAUAUGUCACCGGAAAUAAUUUUAAGUCUACUUUAAGAUGCAAUUUUCAGUUUUUUAAAAUAAUAAAAGAGUGACUUAUAAUUUUUGGUCAAAACUUAGUCAAUUUGACCAACAAAAAUAGAAAUGUGACAACUAAAAAGGGACGGAGGAAGUAUAGUUUCAUAAAUUAUUUUAAACUUUUUUUCUUUCAAAAAAAUAAUGUUUAAGUUUUUAUUCAAAAAGAGAAAAUUUCAAAAAUAAGUUAUGAAACUCUAUUUUAUAUACACCUUAAAAUUCGUGCCAAACAGUGGAAAGAAACCGUAAAGAAAUGAGUGUGACGGAGGGAGUAGUUUAUUUAUUAGCCUUAUAUAUGUCUGAGCUAAAAGUUUUGAUGAAGUCGCAGAAUAUCAAUGUCCUUAAUUAUUUGGGUGUCAGUCUUAUAAUGAAUGUGUUUUGUUUUCUAUUUAAUGUUAGUAAUCACUUACGGAAUAGUUUGUUCUUAUUGGAAAGCCGUGCUAUGACUGUAAAUCACCACUUCGAAAUUUCAUUCUAAUUUAAUGGAAUCUGUUUUGUCUAUUAUCCAUCCACUGGUGUGUCUAUUAUCCACUGGUGUUCAAAUUGUCAACAUGCCUCAGAAUUUUUUUACUUACGGUUUCUAAAUAAAUGAUACCUUGACCAAUACCCAUGAGGUGUAUCAUGAGCCUACUCAGAAAGCAGAUUAGAAUUAAAUAGAACUUCCAGAAGGCAUGAAGUCGGUUUAAGAUAAUUGAUUAAAUAGACAAAACAGAAGUAAAAAAUGGGAUAAAGGAAUUGCGGAAAGUCUCUAGUAGAUAAGAAAGCGGAAGAAAGAAAAUCGUAUACAGAAAAAUAAAUAGGAGGAAGAGGAUUCAUAUGGACCGAGUUGAGUAAGAUAAAGACAAAAAUAUCUGGUAACUAGUAUUAUGAAAUUAUUGAGAUAGAGAAGGGUUGGUGUUCUUUGUUCUUGUGUCUUCAACUUCAUUCUUUCUUAAAGAUUGAAUGUUCUCUGUACGAUUUGCAACUAUUAGAAGCUGUUAAUAUUACCCCAGAACUAGAGAACUUAUUGUAUUUACUUAGACUACAUGUUGCUUAAAAGCAAUGAAGGCACACACCUCCAUAAGCUAAAUUCUCCUCAAUAUGUGCACCUCCGCGUGCUUUCCUUGUGCAUUACAUUUUGGUUGAAGAAUGUUAGUUGGCCACCCUGAACACAAUUUGUGAACAAAGUCAUGUUCGUUAAUCAUCAACACAGUUCCUCUUAAGGCUUGGUUUCACUCUGAUGGACAAUUAUUUGAUGAGUUGUUAUGAUGAGGAUAUAUAAUAGAAUUGUAGAUUUUGAGUUCUUUGCAUGCCUUUGACUCUGAGAAACUUUUAUUGUGUGCCUAUUUGUGUUGGCACCGCCACAUUAAGAGUCGUUAUUUUGUUACAUGCUAUGGGCAAACAUCUUAAUUUCUCUUGGGCUAGUUUUCUGUAUACAUGUUGUUUAAUAAUUGAUCACAUGAUUAUGUAUAUUCUUCAAUUUGUUUGGGCACUAAUAUGUUCUAUGCUUUUUUUAGUGGAACAUGAAGUACUGGAGAGGGAGAUUGAAAGGCUGCGGACCUUAUAUCAACAGCAGCAACAGCAACCACACCAGCAGCCUCCUCCCAGCCAUCAGCGUGCCAAAAGUCGGGAUCUUGAUUCUCAGUUUGCAAGCCUUUCCUUGAAACACAAGGACUCAAGUUCUGGUACUGAUUCCGUUGCUGGCCCGUUGAACAUCUAAUCUCAUAUACAUUGCUGGUGGUCGAUUUGCUUGCCUAAGAACUUCUCUAUGAUGCUUUCAUACCAAUCACCGAGUCCAAGUCAUUUCUGUAGAGUUUGGCUUGAGAAUAGAUCUUCCCAGGUGUAUUCACCUGUUUUUACACCUUUCUGAUUGGCCCUUAUCAUUUGGUUAUUUAUUCUACGUGGCCAUCCUUGUUGAUUUAGUAGAUCAUAUGCACCUGGUGAUCCGGCAGAUAGCUCACCGGAGGUGAAUACAUGAAAGCUUCAUCUGANAUCAUAUGCACCUGGUGAUCCGGCAGAUAGCUCACCGGAGGUGAAUACAUGAAAGCUUCAUCUGACUUGUAAGCUCAGUCAAAACUCUGAGAUUUUUUUUUUUGUUUAAUUUCUUCUUCUGUUGAGAUUUCAAGGAACUUUUAGGGUGCUUAAAGUUAUAUAUUACAGUUUCUCAAAAAAAAAAAAAAAAACCCAAAGAAAGUUAUGUGCGUCACUUGUAAUUCUUGUGUAAAUUAGCAAGCGUCGAUUGAUCCCUGCCCCCACAACUUGUGUUGCAAUUUGCAAAGUGAAUCUUUGGUCUAAUUAAAGUUGAUUGCUAGUAAUUUG